AACGAACGCUGGCGGCAUGCCUAACACAUGCAAGUCGAACGAGACCUUCGGGUCUAGUGGCGCACGGGUGCGUAACGCGUGGGAACCUGCCCUUAGGUUCGGAAUAACUCCCCGAAAGGGGUGCUAAUACCGGAUAAUGUCUUCGGACCAAAGAUUUAUCGCCUUUGGAUGGGCCCGCGUUGGAUUAGCUAGUUGGUAGGGUAAAAGCCUACCAAGGCGACGAUCCAUAGCUGGUCUGAGAGGAUGAUCAGCCACACUGGGACUGAGACACGGCCCAGACUCCUACGGGAGGAAGCAGUGGGGAAUAUUGGACAAUGGGCGAAAGCCUGAUCCAGCAAUGCCGCGUGAGUGAUGAAGGCCUUAGGGUUGUAAAGCUCUUUUACCCGGGAUGAUAAUUACAGUACCGGGAGAAUAAGCGCCGGCUAACUCCGUG
rnacentral:rRNA from 1 species